AGCCAGGUGAAUGUGAUUGGGUUAGCUCGCGUGCUAGCAGGGCUAGCGGCGUCGUCCGAGGGGCAAGAGGAGCUUCCUGUUUGUCUGUCAACAAAGACAAAGAGUGGGACAUCGCCUGACGUCACGGGGACAUCGCUGACGUCACCACGUGUACAGCCUCUGUGUUUCAGAUGGAUGAAAUGGCUCAGGAGAUCUGACAUCGAGGCCCCUGUGACCUUCGCGCUCUGGACCGUCGACUUCCUCCAGCUGCGUGAGGGGAGACGUGGAACCGAGACUGAGCAAACAAAGACAUAGAAGGUUGGACCAAUGCUCUCCAAGCCG